rnacentral:lncRNA from 1 species
UAACACGCUGCGGUCGUAUUUUUAUUGCCAGUGUUAUUUUAGCUGUACGUGUCAUUAACAAAGGUUAUACUAGAGUGAUGUCCCUUCGCUUAACUGGCUGGAGGGGACCAGCUCUGACGUUUUUGUAUCUUCUGUGGAUCUACGAUGAGUUUUGGUUUCUCCCGUUCAUCUGUAAUGUUUGUUGCACCUUUCGUCUCUGUUGUGGAUUGUUAUUCUGUGCUUGUGCUACGUCAUUACUUACAAUAGACAUCUUCGUCCACUAACGGCUUCCGUCUCAUGUUCUUGCAUUUGUCACCUUGUACCACCUGGCAGAAGGCGAAGACGAUUGCAGCCAUGGCAAACCGACAUGUUAGUACGAAGGUUCAACAUGUCUGAGUACCCUAGUCCUGCUACUGUGGCGAUGCUGAGUAGACGGACACGCAUGAAACAACAAAAGAUUUACCGCUGGUUCGUCAAUCGGCGCUCUGCCCAACGUCGCGCGCAACAUCGCCGUCGCCCUCAACAGCGCCGUCGCCCACCUCGGCCUUGAGGGAUUCUCCGCUUAUGGACAUUUUUGAUCGCAUUUUUAUAAUUAUCUUUUAUCUUUUUUCUAAUUAGUUUUUAUGUAAGUAUAUUGUCUAGGCAAAGAUUUUUUACAACAAAAUUUGUUUACAACAGGAUUUUUGAGUAAUGUUUUAAUUGUUCUGAUCUAUCUUUUUUAUUUUUGUACUCUUUUGAGCAAAUUGUAUUUGAUAAAAAUGUGCAUUAAACAUAUAUAUAUAAGAAUUCGGUGUAAAAUUGUGAGAAAAAAUAGGCUUGUUUCUCUGUAUGUGUGACAAUGUUUACGCAAUGAAAUGUGUUAAUUUGUACCUCAUGGUUUAGAAUAGUCGAUACAAUAUUAUAAUCAGAUAUUUCAGUACACACUUUACCGUGUGCUUUUGAAAUAGUUUUAUUAAAAGAUCUGCAAACAUUUAA